rfam:Picea glauca, whole genome shotgun sequence.
ACAUGCCUACAACAUAGCUUUAAUUCAUUGGAUCCCAUUAGAACUCCACAAUUAAGCGCACUCAAGAUAGAGUAGUACUGGGAUGGGUGACCGCACGGGAAGUCCUAGUAUUUUACAUGCC